GGAGGAGACAUAACGAGCAAGAAGAAGCUGUUGAAGAAACAAGCCGAAGGCAAGAAUCGAAUGAAAUCGGUGGGAAGAGUGGAGGUUCCCCAAGACGCGUUCAUGGCGGUGUUAAGGCUUGAGAAAGAUGUGGUUUAAUUGUAAGAGGUACAAUGAACAAGGUACUGGAAAGCCAGAAUGGCCUACA